CGCCGCUCAAUCUGUUCCCGUUUGGUUGAAUAAAAGCACGGAUGGGCGCGGAUGAAAAGUGCUUUGUUUGCUCAGAUCGCCUCACGUUGUGAUGUGACGGCGACAGACUCUCAUAUUUACAUGCCAGGCCUCAGGUGUGUCGACGCCGCCGCCGCCUCAACAACAACAACCCUCCUGACGGUUCCUUCAGAUGAUGACAAACACUGACCUGAGGCGAUGAUGAUGUUAUAUCAUCAUGAUGUUACCUUGAUGCUGUGCCUGUGGGCGGCGUCCAUGACAGCAGGAACCAGGUCCUCGGUGGGCUCCCCGUGGUCGUCUGCCACCCCGGGAGGAUACCAGGACAAAACCAGCACCCCUACAACACCACAGCAGGAGGAGGAACACUGAUCUGAGUACAGUCAGUGGCUUUGAUGCCGAAAAAUAAAAAGACGCCAAGGGGCGUGACAAAGCGGUGGUCUGUGAUGAGUUGGGAUGAGAAACUGUUGGGUAUUCAGUUGGUUGCAAUCUGCAACCACACCACUAGAUACCACCAAAUCAUACACACUGUACAUUUAAAAAGUAAAUUAUGAGUGUCAAUAAGUGUUCUUCAUUAAUAUUUACAAAUAAAAAAACUGAAACUCACUAUUUUUUCUAUUAUUAUUAUUAUUAUUCAAUCAAUGUGCACCUUUAAAAUUUAAAGGCCACUGUAGAAACGUGGGAAGAGGACCCGCUCCCUAUGUAGAUAUAAACGGCU